AUUGAACGCUGGCGGCAGGCCUAACACAUACAAGUCGAGCGGAUGAAGGGAGCUUUCUCCUGGAUUCAGCGGCGGACGGGUGAGUAAUGCCUAGGAAUCUGCCUGGUAGUGGGGGAUAACGUCCGGAAACGGGCGCUAAUACCGCAUACGUUCAGAGCGAUAAAGAGGGGGAUCUUCGUACCUAACGCUAACAGCAUAGCCUAGGUCGGAUCAGCUAGUUGGUGGGGUAAAGGCCUACCAAGGCGACGAUCCGUACCUGGACUGAGAGGAUGAUCAGUCACACUGGAACUGAGACACGGCCCAGACUCCUACGGGAGGCAGCAGUGGGGAAUAUUGGACAAUGGGCGAAAGCCUGAUCCAGACAUGCCGCGUGUGUGAAGAAGGUCUUCGGAUUGUAAAGCACUUUAAGUUGGGAGGAAGGGCAGUAAGGUAAUAACUUGCUGAUUUGACGGUACCAACAGAAUAAGCACCGGCUAACUACGUG
rnacentral:rRNA from 1 species